rnacentral:rRNA from 1 species
UACGUAGGGUGCAAGCGUUGUCCGGAAUUAUUGGGCGUAAAGAGCUCGUAGGCGGUUUGUCGCGUCUGCUGUGAAAACGCGAGGCUCAACCUCGCGCCUGCAGUGGGUACGGGCAGACUAGAGUGCGGUAGGGGAGAUUGGAAUUCCUGGGUGUAGCGGUGGAAUGCGCAGAUAUCAGGAGGAACACCGAUGCGAAGGCAGAUCUCUGGGCCGUAACUGACGCUGAGGAGCGAAAGCAUGGGGAG